ensembl:lncRNA
CAAUGCUCAAAUCUUGUCAACGCGAUAAUGUAUCAGGGCCUCCUGAGUGGUGCACUGUUUUGCGGCACGGCACUGAAGUGCUGUCGCGCCAUUGCAGCCCAGGUUCAUUGCUUGGCCACUGCAGACUGACCGGCCUGCAAAAAGGCUGACAGGCUGGCUCAGGACUGGCCGGCGAGGGAUGCGUUGCCACGUCGCACUCUAGCAACCUGUGUGAGAUUGGACGUCUGCCAGAAAAUGGUGGUCGUUAGCUGGUUGAGGAAGCAGUGAUGCACACGUCAAUGAUGCCCAAUUGAGAGUCUAUGUGAACAACAUCCAGCGGUAAUUCUGAGGAACAGAAGUCAUUAACGACUGCUCUUUGCUUGGAUGACGCCAGCUACACAGGUCCAUUCCCACAGGCUGCGCUGGUCUGCAUGGGAUGUUACUUGAAAUGGUCUUCAUAGGACCGUGGCUCUCCGUUCCACCCUACCUAUCCCAGAGACCCCUUCG